AGUUUGCAGCGUCCUCAGUACCAUCUUGGAUGUAGACCGUACCGUAACCAGACAUGGAACCUGCUGGUGCCUUGAACUAUAUCCCAGCUUCUGUAACUGUGAAAAUAUCCCUUGCAAACUUAAUGAUUAUCUAACAAAUACUCUAACAACAUGGAUGAUAGUUCAUCAUGGACAAAAGAAAUCCAUUCCAAGGCUAGACACCAUAGGACUAUCCAAAAGGAACAAAUGAGAGAACUACUCAUCGGUGAAGGAUGACUGGAGGUGCCAGGAAGUAAUCUUCAGUGAUUAAAUAGGAGAGCCUCUUCUAACACAGCAGGCAAACUGGCGGUCAUACUCUUCUCUAAAUGAGCCAACACUCCCUAGGAGACCUCAGUAGAACUCCCUCUUCUCUGCUGGAAAGGUUUUGCCUCCCCAGGACCCAUCCCUCACCAUCCAUGCAUGACAUUCUGGCCUCAAGUAUCCACUCCUCAAAGCGCAACAAAAUAACUGAAUGGAAGAUUACAUUUCCCAGUCUUUGCUUGCAGUGAGAUACAAGCAGAAGCCAUCAG
rnacentral:lncRNA from 10 species